rnacentral:rRNA from 1 species
CACGUAGGAGGCGAGCGUUGUCCGGAAUUACUGGGCGUAAAGCGCACGUAGGCGGAUACUUAAGUUAGGGGUGAAAUCCCGGGGCUCAACCCCGGAACUGCCUUUGAUACUGGGUAUCUGGAGUCCGAGAGAGGUGAGUGGAAUUCCGAGUGUAGAGGUGAAAUUCGUAGAUAUUCGGAGGAACACCAGUGGCGAAGGCGGCUCACUGGCUCGGUACUGACGCUGAGGUGCGAAAGCGUGGGGAGCAAACAGG